rnacentral:rRNA from 1 species
UACGUAGGGGGCGAGCGUUGUCCGGAUUUAUUGGGCGUAAAGAGCUCGUAGGCGGCUUGGCAAGUCGGGUGUGAAACCUCCAGGCUCAACCUGGAGACGCCACUCGAUACUGCCAUGGCUAGAGUCCGGUAGGGGACCACGGAAUUCCUGGUGUAGCGGUGAAAUGCGCAGAUAUCAGGAGGAACACCGGUCGCGAAGGCGGUGGUCUGGGCCGGCACUGACGCUGAGGAGCGAAGGCAUGGGGAGCGAACAGG